GAUGAACGCUAGCGGCAGGCCUAAUACAUGCAAGUCGGACGGGAUUCAGGAGCUUGCUUCUGAUGAGAGUGGCGAACGGGUGCGUAACACGUAUGUAACCUACCUUUAUCAGGGGGAUAGCCUCUCGAAAGAGAGAUUAAGCCCGCAUAAAAUCACAGCACAGCAUUGUGUAAUGAUCAAAUAUUUAUAGGAUAAAGAUGGGCAUGCGGAACAUUAGCUAGAUGGCGGGGUAACGGCCCACCAUGGCGACGAUGUUUAGGGGAUCUGAGAGGAUGGCCCCCCACACUGGUACUGAGACACGGACCAGACUCCUACGGGAGGCAGCAGUAAGGAAUAUUGGUCAAUGGGCGGAAGCCUGAACCAGCCAUGCCGCGUGCAGGAAGACGGCCCUACGGGUUGUAAACUGCUUUUAUACGGGAAUAAACCCAGAUACGUGUAUCUGGCUGAAUGUACUGUAAGAAUAAGGAUCGGCUAACUCCGUG
rnacentral:rRNA from 1 species